ACGCUCGACACCUACGGGAGACAGCAGUCGGGAAUAUUGCGCAAUGGAGGAAACUCUGACGCAGUGACGCCGCGUGCAGGAAGAAGGUUUUCGGAUUGUAAACUGCUUUAGACAGGGAAGAAGAAGUGACAGUACCUGUAGAAUAAGCUCCGGCUAACUACGUGCCAGCAGCCGCGGUAAUCUGAGCGGGCUGGCAAGGC
rnacentral:rRNA from 1 species